rnacentral:rRNA from 1 species
CGGUGAAUACGUUCCCGGGCCUUGUACACACCGCCCGUCAAGCCAUGGAAGCUGGGGGUGCCUGAAGUGCGUAACCGCAAGGAGCGUCCUAGGGUAAAACCGGUAACUGGGACU